rnacentral:rRNA from 1 species
AUUGAACGCUGGCGGCAGGCCUAACACAUGCAAGUCGAGCGUGCGGCGGACGGGUGAGUAAUGUCUGGGAAACUGCCUGUUGGCGGGGGAUCACUACUGGAAACGGUAGCUAAUACCGCAUACCAUCAGAUGUGCCCAGAUGGGAUUAGCUAGUAGGUGGGGUAAUGGCUCACCUAGGCGACGAUCCCUAGCUGGUCUGAGAGGAUGACCAGCCACACUGGAACUGAGACACGGUCCAGACUCCUACGGGAGGCAGCAGUGGGGAAUUUUGGGCAAUGGGGGAAAGCCUGAUCCAGCCAUCCCGCGUGUGCGAAGAAGGCCUUCGGGUUGUAAAGCACUUUUGGCAGGGAAGCGGUACCUGCAGAAUAAGCACCGGCUAACUACGUGCCAGCCGCCGCGGUAAUAC